rnacentral:rRNA from 1 species
AAGUCGAACGUGAAAGCACUUCGGUGUGAGUAGAGUGGCGGACGGGUGAGUAACGCGUGGGAAUCUGCCCAGUAGUGGGGGACAACUACCGGAAACGGUAGCUAAUACCGCAUACGCCCUAUGGGGGAAAGGCUUCGGCCGCUAUUGGAUGAGCCCGCGUCAGAUUAGCUAGUUGGUAGGGUAAAGGCCUACCAAGGCAACGAUCUGUAGCUGGUCUGAGAGGACGAACAGCCACACUGGAACUGAGACACGGCCCAGACUCCUACGGGAGGCAGCAGUGGGGAAUAUUGGACAAUGGGCGAAAGCCUGAUCCAGCAAUGCCGCGUGUGUGAAGAAGGCCUGCGGGUUGUAAAGCACUUUCAGUUGGGAAGAUGAUGACGUUACCAACAGAAGAAGCACCGGCUAAAUCCGUGCCAGCAGCCGCGGUAAUACGGAUGGUGCGAGCGUUAAUCGGAAUUACUGGGCGUAAAGCGCGCGUAGGCGGCUAAGUCAGUCAGAAGUGAAAGCCCCGGGCUCAACCUGGGAAUUGCUUUUGAUACUGCUUGGCUAGAGUUUGGUAGAGGAUAGUGGAAUUCCAGGUGUAGCGGUGAAAUGCGUAGAUAUCUGGAGGAACAUCAGUGGCGAAGGCGACUGUCUGGACCAAAACUGACGCUGAGGUGCGAAAGCGUGGGUAGCAAACAGGAUUAGAUACCCUGGUAGUCCACGCCGUAAACGAUGUCAACUAGCCGUCGGGUCUAUUUACAGACUUGGUGGCGCAGCUAACGCGAUAAGUUGACCGCCUGGGGAGUACGGCCGCAAGGUUAAAACUCAAAGGAAUUGACGGGGGCCCGCACAAGCGGUGGAGCAUGUGGUUUAAUUC